rnacentral:rRNA from 1 species
GUACCGUCAAACUCUGUAAACUAUUCGUAUACAAAGCCUUCUUCCCUUCUGACAGCACUUUACGACCCGAAGGCCUUCGUCGUGCACGCGGCGUUGCUCCGUCAGGCUUGCGCCCAUUGCGGAAAAUUCCCUA